GGCUGGUCCAAUGGUAGUAGGUUAUCAGAACUUAUCAACAUUAGUGUUACUAAAGUUGUUAUACAAUCCUCCACUCACUGCUAAAUUUGACUGGCUUAAA
rnacentral:Y_RNA from 1 species